GGGGUUGUGGCCUAGCCCGGCAUGGCGAUGGGCUCCAGCGGAUAAAUGAUGAACAACGGGUCUACUGAGACUAACCCGACGGGGUUGGUUUGUGAGGAGCCGUUGGAGCACUGAUAUGUGCUCAAGAACCUAGCUGUUUUUGCAGCUGUUCGGAGAGACCCGUCGAUCGUGAGUUCGAAUCUCACCAACCCCA
rnacentral:tRNA from 1 species